UUGACCUCUGAGUGCUGAGGCCCAGUAUUGGCCUGUCCUUGGAUGGUGCAUAACAUGCCUGUCCAGAGACUGGAUGUAAAACCAGACAUCACCCCCAGCCUGAGAAGGAAGCAGACUGAGGCUGAGGUGCUCUCAAACCACCUCUGCACGAAUACAGCUGGUCAUGUGUCUGUCUCCAGCCCUUGGAGAAAGGACAGCCCUCUACAGAAUGGGUGUACAGACUGGGACCACCAGACAUAAUUUCAAGCAGAAAUACACAGAGAUGGGGAGACACCACUUCACCAUUCAUGGAGCUUCUCCCUAAUGCCAUGAAUGAUGUUCUCAUAUGGUGUGGGGAGCUUGAACCCGGGUCCUCCGCCAUGUACAGUAUGUAUUCUAAAGGGUGAACUACUUCCCAACCCUGAAAUUAAAUUCUUAAAACCAUGUACAGAAGAAUAAAGAAAAUACAAUAACACA